UGAGCAAUCUGCCCUUCUCUUCGGAAUAAGCGUUGGAAACGACGUCUAAUGCCGAAUACGACCUCCUUUCGCAUGAUCGGAGGCGGAAAGCUCCGGCGGAGAAGGAUGAGCUCGCGGCCUAUCAGCUAGUUGGUGUGGGUAAUGGCCCACCAAGGCGACGACGGGUAGCCGGCCUGAGAGGGUGACCGGCCACACUGGGACUGAGAUACGGCCCAGACUCCGUACGGGAGG
rnacentral:rRNA from 1 species